rnacentral:lncRNA from 1 species
UUUUUUUAAAGAACGUGGAAUACAGAGAAACAGCACUGGACCUUUGUACCAAGGACUCCUGCAGUGGUGUAGGAUUUACUGGAGGACCCAGAGACUCCAUCUGGACCCUAAUCAAUACCGGACACAAUUACAUGCACAUCGCCUGCUAUUCCUGGUUGAUUUGUAAGCCGAGAAAAUCUCUGAGGCAGAAAGUCAGUGAAGAAGUUGGGAAAACCAGAGGCCUGUCUUCUGCAGAAAUCGGACGAAAAGAAUCCACAACUCAGAAGAGCAAAGACGUGCAUUAACAAUAAGGCAAUGACCAG